rnacentral:rRNA from 1 species
GACGAACGCUGGCGGCGUGCUUAACACAUGCAAGUCGUACGGUAAGGCCCUUUCUGGGGUACACGAGUGGCGCACGGGUGCGUAACACGUGCGUAACCUGCCCACCACUUUGGGAUAACUCUCUGAAACUGGUGCUAAUACUUGAUAUGUGCUCCUGCUUCAUGGUUGGGGUUGGAAAGCUCCGGCGGUUGUGGAUGGACUCGCGGCCUAUCAGCUGGUUGGUGGGGUAGUGGCCUACCAAGGCGGCGACGGGUAGCCGGCCUGAGAGGGUGACCGGCCACAGUGGGAAUGAGAGACGGCGCAGACACCGAAGGGAGGCAGAAGGGGGGAAUAUGGAACAAGGGGCGGAAGUCGGAUGCAGCAACGCGGGGGGCGGGAGGACGGCGUGAGGGUUGUAAAACGAUGACGCCUGUGAAGAAGCGUGAGUGAAGGUAAUGGGUAAAGAAGAACCGGCUAACGACAUG